rnacentral:rRNA from 1 species
UACGGAGGGUGCAAGCAUUAAUCGGAUUUAUUGGGCGUAAAGAGCGUGUAGGCGGCCAAACAGGUCCACUGUGAAAACUCGAGGCUCAACCUCGAGAGGUCGGUGGAAACCGUAUGGCUAGAGUCCGGAAGAGGAGAGUGGAAUUCCCGGUGUAGCGGUGAAAUGCGUAGAUAUCGGAAGGAACACCAGUGGCGAAAGCGGCUUCCUGGUCCAGCACCGACGUUCAGGCACGAAAGCGUGGGGAGCAAACAGG